rnacentral:rRNA from 1 species
GGUGAACGCUGGCGGCGUGCAUAACACAUUCAAGUCGAACGGGCGGUAAGACUUCGGUCUUAUCGUUAGUGGCGGACGGGUGAGUAACACGUGAGCAACCUGCCUUAAAGAUGGGAAUAACGCAUGGAAACGUGCGCUAAUACCGAAUAACAUAACUGCGUCGCAUGGCGCGGUUAUCAAAGGAGCAAUCCGCUUUAAGAUGGGCUCGCGCCCGAUUAGGCAGUUGGCGGGGUAACGGCCCACCAAACCGACGAUCGGUAACCGGACUGAGAGGUCGAACGGUCACAUUGGAACUGAGAAACGGUCCAGACUCCUACGGGAGGCAGCAGUGGGGAAUAUUGGGCAAUGGGCGAAAGCCUGACCCAGCGACGCCGCGUGAAGGAAGAAGGUCUUCGGAUUGUAAACUUAUGUCGGGGGGGAAGAAACAAAUGACGGUACCCUCCAAGAAAGCCACGGCUAACUACGUGCCAGCAGCCGCGGUAAUACGUAGGUGGCGAGCGUUGCCCGGAAUUACUGGGUGUAAAGGGUGUGUAGGCGGCUUUUCAAGUCAGAGGUUAAAUAUACGGGCUCAACCCGUAUACGCCUUUGAAACUGGAAGGCUUGAGUGUCGGAGAGGUAAGCGGAAUUCCCAGUGUAGCGGUAAAAUGCGUAGAUAUUGGGAGGAACACCAGUGGCGAAGGCGGCUUACUGGACGACAACUGACGCUGAGACACGAAAGCGCGGGGAGCAAACAGGAUUAGAUACCCUGGUAGUCCGCGCCGUAAACGAUGAAUGCUAGGUGUAGGGGGGAUACCUUCUGUGCCGCAGUAAACGCAAUAAGCAUUCCACCUGGGGAGUACGGCCGCAAGGUUGAAACUCAAAGGAAUUGACGGGAGCCCGCACAAGCAGUGGAGUAUGUUGUUUAAUUCGACGCAACGCGAAGAACCUUACCAGUCUGACAUCUGCGAAGAGUCGUAAUGGACUCCUGUGCCCUUCGGGAACCGCAAGACAGGUAGUGCAUGGUUGUCGUCAGCUCCGUGUCGUGAGAUGUUGGGUUAAGUCCCGCAACGAGGCGCAACCCUUUACGAUAGUGCCAGCGUUCACGAGUCACUCUAUCGGACUGGCGUGACAAACGGAGGAAGGCCGAGAUAUAUGUUCACUCAAUG